AUGUUCCAAGAGAUGUUAGCUCCGCUGACUUUGUCGUCCACCGCACUUUUCCUCUCGUCUCGUUCACGUCAUGCUCUGAUUUUGACUCUUCAUUUUUCUAUACAAACUUCCUUUAAGUUAAACCUUCCACAACUCUUGCUCCCUAACUUCCAUUCUAAGUAUCCUCCUUAACUAAACUAAGGGAACCCCGAAACAGAAACAAACCCAGUUCUCCUUUUUCUUUCUUCAGCCAUGUUGAUGAAGAAGCUCGCAGUGUUGUUUCUGAUUUUGACAGCUGUUUUGAGCUCUGUGUGUGCGAGGUUUGUGGUUGAGAAGGGUAGUUUGAGCGUGUUGUCUCCUUUGAGCCUGCGUUCAAAGCAUGAUGGUGCAAUUGGGAACUUUGGGAUUCCUGACUAUGGAGGAUUUCUGGUGGGUUCUGUUGUGUAUCCUGACAAAGAAACUUUUGGUUGUGAAGCUUUUAAGGGUGAUAAGCCUUUCAAAUCUAAGUUUCACAGACCAACCAUUCUGCUUCUUGAUAGAGGAGAGUGCUUCUUUGUCUUGAAGGUAUGGAAUGGUCAACAGGCAGGAGCAGCGGCAGUUUUAAUUGCUGAUAACAUGGAUGAACCUCUGAUCACCAUGGAUUCUCCUGAGGACAGCACUGUUGCAGAUCGGUACGUGGAGAAAAUUGCAAUUCCCUCGGCGCUAAUAGAUCGCUCCUUUGGUGAGAGCUUGAAGCAGGCCUUGAAGAAAGGAGAAGAAGAUGUUGUCAUAAAAUUGGACUGGAGAGAGUCAGUGCCCCAUCCUGAUCAGAGAGUUGAGUAUGAAUUGUGGACAAACAGCAAUGAUGAGUGUGGAACUCGUUGCGAUGAGCAGAUGAACUUUGUCAAAAGUUUCAAGGGCCAUGCUCAAAUCCUGGAGAAGGGUGGCUACACUUUGUUUACACCACACUACAUAACCUGGUUUUGCCCUGUGUUUUUUAUUCACAGCAGCGAAUGCAAGUCUCAGUGCAUAAACCACGGGAGAUAUUGUGCGCCUGAUCCAGAACAGGAUUUUGGAGAAGGAUAUCAAGGAAAGGAUGUGGUUUUUGAGAACUUGAGGCAGCUUUGUGUGCACAGAGUCGCUAAUGAGAGUAACCGGUCCUUGGUUUGGUGGGAUUAUGUAACUGAUUUUCAUAUCAGAUGCUCCAUGAAGGGGAAGAAGUACAGCAAAGGAUGUGCUGAGGAUGUCAUGAAAUCACUUGAUCUGCCAAUCGAGAAGAUCAAGAAAUGUAUGGGAGAUCCUGAAGCUGAUGUGGAGAAUGAAGUGCUGAAAACAGAGCAAGAACUCCAGCUUGGUCGAGGAUCUCGUGGUGAUGUUACAAUCUUGCCAACACUAGUUAUCAACAAUGUACAAUAUCGAGGAAAAUUAGAUAGAAUGGCUGUGCUCAAGGCCAUAUGUGCUGGAUUCCGGGAGACAACUGAUCCUCCAAUUUGUUUAAGUGGAGAUCUUGAGACUAAUGAGUGCCUUGAAAGGAAUGGUGGCUGUUGGCAGGACACCAAAGCCAACAUUACUGCUUGCAAGGACACAUUUAGGGGAAGAGUCUGUGAGUGCCCUACCGUGAAGGGUGUCCAGUUCAGGGGAGACGGAUAUAUAUCCUGUGAAGCCUAUGGACCUGGAAGAUGUGAAUUAAACAAUGGAGGUUGCUGGUCGGACUCCAAAGAUGGAUUAACCUUCUCAGCCUGCUCAGAGUCCCAGUUAACUGGCUGUCAGUGUCCAAAGGGCUUCCGAGGGAAUGGUCUUACAUGCGAAGAUAUCAAUGAGUGCAAGGAGCAUUCCGCCUGUCAGUGCGAUGGCUGCUCCUGUAAGAAUACCUGGGGAGGAUAUGAGUGCAAGUGUAAAGGAGAUCUUCUUUACAUAAAGGAACAAGAUACUUGUAUUGAAAGAAGUGGAUCGAAAUUCAGAUGGUUACUCACUUCUGUGAUCCUAGUAAUUGUGGCCGCUGCUGGUUUAGCUGGUUACGUAUUCUACAAAUACCGACUUCGGUCUUACAUGGACUCAGAGAUCAUGGCCAUAAUGUCACAGUACAUGCCACUUGAAAACCAGCACAAUAACGAAGCAUCAGGCGAAGCACAACCUUUUCAACAAACAUAUGUAAGUAGAUUAUAAAGCAACUUAUGCUACAAAAAUACUGCAAAGCUUUUCAUGUUAGAAUCGAUGUAGCACAAACCACGCAGAUACAAAGGUCGAGCUGUAAGAAGGGCCUGGCAAAUGAUGCAAUGGAGUGUAGAAAUCAGUAAUUUAUCAGAAAUUAAACUUUGUUCUUACAGAUAAAGUUUGCCAAGAAUAUUUAUGUAGUAAGGUUAACAGUUGGAAAGUUACAAAUGGGGAAGCUUUGUAAAUGCAUAUAUACAAUAAAAGCUCCAGCUCCGAUUAGUCGCAGAAA